UUGACAGUUUGGCUUCCCUGUUCUGGGUGGCAAAGCCUGUGGAGUACUCACCUACCUGCUGCAUGAAGGCAGCAUGGAGGGACUGUGGUGGAUUAUCUGCAAAGAUGGCCAAAAUUCUCUCAUCCCUGCAGGCACAUACAAGAUGCCAGAAUCAGUCAAAACUAAGCUCACUGUCCUUGCUAAUAUUCUGCCCCAGAGAAGAACUGAAGCUCAGCUCUUCACCCUACAGAAAGCCUGAAUUUUGUAAAUGUUCUGCUUAGAAUGAGGAAGAAAGAUGAAGAAUGAGGAGGAAGAAGGAAGGAACGAGAGAGAGCCAGGUUUCCAGAAGUUCCCCAGUCAUUGAGCAUUUCUGAGGCUCUUGAUGCAUAUGCCAAGUAGUUAUGGAGAAAGACACAGCAGCUUACCUCUGCAGGCAUCAUUGUGUGAAAGGAAGACCCAGGCUCUCUCACCACCCUUGAACAGAAGCCUUUUGCUAAGGUGAUAGCUACAUGUCCAAGCCUAUUGCGUGGCAUGCAUUUUGCCUUCUGCAGCCCACUAAAGGUGAGCAGUAAAUGUGUUUGCUAUUUCCCCAAAAGGAAAUUGAAGUAUACAGAAUGCUUAUUUGGUCUACUCAGUAUCAUCCUAAAUGUAUGUACCAAUGCUUAGGAGUUUGCAGUUCACCCGCAAACCUCAGCGAUCCAAGCUCCCCUGGAUGACCAUCACUCACCAAGAAAAGAGCAAUAACAGGACCUGUUUUGCUAAUCCAGGACUGUUCUCCAGCACUAACUCUAAAUAAUCCCUUCUGCUAGA
rnacentral:lncRNA from 10 species